rnacentral:rRNA from 1 species
CCUACGGGAGGCAGCAGUGAGGAAUAUUGGUCAAUGGACGAGAGUCUGAACCAGCCAAGUAGCGUGAAGGAUGACUGCCCUAUGGGUUGUAAACUUCUUUUAUAAAGGAAUAAAACGAGGCACGUGUGCCUUUUUGCAUGUACUUUAUGAAUAAGGAUCGGCUAACUCCGUGCCAGCAGCCGCGGUAAUACGGAGGAUCCGAUCGUUAUCCGGAUUUAUUGGGUUUAAAGGGAGAGUAGAUGGGUUGUUAAGUCAGUUGUGAAAGUUUGCGGCUCAAACGUAAAAUUGCAAUUGAUACUGGCAGUCGUGAGUACAGUUGAGGUAGGCGGAAUUCGUGGUGUAGCGGUGAAAUGCUUAGAUAGCACGAAGAACCCCGAUUGCGAAGGCAGCUUACUAAACUGUGACUGACAUUGAUGCUCGAAAGUGUGGGUAUCAAACAGGAUUAGAUACCCGAGUAGUC